CGCCGGGACAGCGCAGGUGAGCGGCAGGCGGGCGGUGCUGCCGCACUGGCGGGCGACAAGCAGGUGGGGCCGGGGGCGGAGGGGAGCGUCCCCGGAAGGAGAAGCGAGGGGCACGGGGAUGCUGGAGAUGGAGGCGGCAGCACGGGCGGGCUGGAGGGCGGCGAUUCGCGCUGGUUUCCCGGCUUGACGCUUUGCGUUGUCUAUCACUGGGUCUCAAGCUCAUCAUCAUACCUGGGUCCUUACAACUCUGGAUUUGGCUUUCCUAUCAUUAAGCUACAAUAAAAUCUGCAUCAGUCUGUUCUGACUUCUGCCUCAGGGUAUGAUUCUACAGGCUCCAGGUCCUGCUGCAGUGAGCAGGUGUAGGAGAGCAGUGUGAGAGAGAGGACAUGUGCCUGUGAACAAGCCCCAGGAGCCAUGGCAAUGAAGGUCUGCUGCCCUGUCAAGAAGGGGAGAGGCAGCUAUUCAUCAGGAAAACUUGGCGUGAAGAGACAAGGAAACAGAAGUGAGACUGAUAAUAUCUGGGAGCUGAACGUCUGCCAUAUUUCUGUUCAGGAAAGACCUGCCAGCCCUGCUAGAAACGUUGCUUCUCCUCAGAAUAGACCCCAGGUCUCUGCUCCCCUGGCCACUAAGAUGGCCUGUGACACAUUUGUAUGCCCAUGCUCAUACCACAGAGACGCCUCACCCCCUCUUUCUUGUAUACAUCUGCAUUGCCUCACUAAAGCAUUUCCUGCCACAGCAAAAGGAUUCUGUUGUUGUUCUUUACAAGUUAAACUCUUUCUAAUGCUUUUUGUGUGUAUAUGUGAUUAGAAUGGCCCUUUGAAGUAUGUGCAUAUGUGUGUAUAACGCAAUACUUUUAUAAAUUAAUUUGAAGAUGUAAAAUUAAUUACAGCAUGGCUGAGGCUGGCAGUGCCCUCUGUGUCCAUCUGGCCCAACCCCUGCUCCAGCAGGGACCCCCACAGCAGGGUGCCCAGGCCCACGUUCAGGUGACUUCUGGAGAUCUCCAAGGAGGAGACCCCACCGCCUCUCUGGGCAACCCGUGCCAGCGCUCCAUCAUCUGCACAGCACAGAAGUGCUUCCAGGUGUUCAGAGGGAACCUCCUGUGUCCCCGUGUGUGCACACUGGCUCAUGUCUUGGCACUGGGCAACACUGAAAAGAGCCUGGUUGUGUCCUCUGGGCACCCUCCCUCCAGGUAUUUAUAUACAUUGGUAAGAUCCCCCAGUCCUCCUCUUUUCCAGGCUCCAGCUCUCAAGACUCUCCUCACAGGAGAGGUUCUCCAGGCCCUUUAUCAUCUUGGUGGCCCUAUACUGGACUGUUUCCAGUCAGUCCAUAUCUGCCUUGUCCUGAGGAGCCCAAAAAUGUAUUCAGCACUCCAGGUGCAGUCUAACCAUCACUGAGUAGAGGGGAGGGAUCAUCUCCUUGACCUGCU
ensembl:lncRNA